GUGUUCGUUGAAAGGAGAGACGGUUGGCAUCUCCCCUGACAGGGACGGGAACAGCCUUCGGGCUUUUCUCUUUACCACACAUGGUUAAGGCUACCCCACCACUCCCAUCAUGGUUGUGGAGGAUCUUAUCCAAAUUUUUUU